rnacentral:lncRNA from 1 species
AGGGAAGGAGGCAAUGGUGUAUAGUAAAAUAUGAAAAAUAGAGAAUUGAUGAAUAAAUUAAAAAUAAAGAAUUAAAAGUUCGGCGGAGAAAAGAAAAAAGGUCAUGAUGAAUAAUUGGAGAUAGAGAUGUUAGGAUUAUAGAUGAUAGUGAGACAAUUUAAAUAUGCUAAUUGGAAGUUUGGUAGUGAGACUGUUUGUAUUAAUUGAAAGUAUAAUGGAGAAAGAGGAAAGAGAAAGGUUCAUGAUGAAUAAUUGUAGAUAGAAAUAAUAAAAUUAUCGAUGAUAGUGGACGAUUUAAAUGCACUAAUUAAAAAGUUGGUUAAUGGUACCGUUAAAAUACAUAUUGAAGAUUUGGUGAACGAAAAAAAAAAAAAAAAAAAUACAUACUAAUAAGAGUGAAGAAGAAUUUGCCACGUGUCAACAAAUAUUAGGUAUUCAUACGGGUUAAUAGAUAAAUUG